AAGUCGUAACAAGGUUUCCGUAGGUGAACCUGCGGAAGGAUCAUUAAAAAACACUUAUACACUUUUAGGCACAAACUCUAAAUCUUAACCGUCAAUAAUUCUUUAAAAAA
rnacentral:misc_RNA from 1 species